GGCGAACGCUGGCGGCGUGCUUAACACAUGCAAGUCGAACGGAAAGGCCCUGCUUUUGUGGGGUGCUCGAGUGGCGAACGGGUGAGUAACACGUGAGUAACCUGCCCUUGACUUUGGGAUAACUUCAGGAAACUGGGGCUAAUACCGGAUAGGAGCUCCUGCUGCAUGGUGGGGGUUGGAAAGUUUCGGCGGUUGGGGAUGGACUCGCGGCUUAUCAGCUUGUUGGUGGGGUAGUGGCUUACCAAGGGUUUGACGGGUAGCCGGCCUGAGAGGGUGACGGGCCACAUUGGGACUGAGAUACGGCCCAGACUCCUACGGGAGGCAGCAGUGGGGAAUAUUGCACAAUGGGCGGAAGCCUGAUGCAGCAACGCCGCGUGCGGGAUGACGGCCUUCGGGUUGUAAACCGCUUUCGCCUGUGACGAAGCGUGAGUGACGGUAAUGGGUAAAGAAGCACCGGCUAACUACGUG
rnacentral:rRNA from 1 species